AGAGUUUGAUUCUGGCUCAGAACGAACGCUGGCAGCGUGGAUUAGGCAUGCAAGUCGAACGUGAAGCCGAUGACCAAUCUUUCGGGAAAGUGAUUCGGUGGAAAGUGGCGAAAGGGUGAGUAACGCGUGGGUAAGCUAUCUUCAAGUUCGGGACAACCCGCCGAAGGGCGAGCUAAUACCGAAUGUGGUCUUUGGAUCAUAUCCGGAUGAUUAAAGGUGGGGCUCCUUUUGGACCUGCCGCUUUUAGAGGUGCCCGCGUGCCAUCAGCUUGUUGGUAGGGUAACGGCCUACCAAGGCUUACGGCUAGCCGGCCUGAGAGGGUGACCGGCCACACUGGGACUGAGACACUGCCCAGACUCCUACGGGAGGCUGCAGUCGAGGAUCAUUCGCAAUGCGCGAAAGCGUGACGAUGCGACGCUGCGUGGAGGAUGAAGGCCUUCGGGUCGUAAACUCCUGUCAUGAGGGAACAGCCAUUUCGCCCCUAAUACGGGUGGGAUCCGAUGGUACCUCAAGAGGAAGCCACGGCUAACUCUGUGCCAGCAGCCGCGGUAAUACAGAGGUGGCGAGCGUUGUUCGGAUUUACUGGGCGUAAAGGGUGCGUAGGUGGUUUUGUAUGUCGGAUGUGAAAGCCCAUGGCUCAACCGUGGAAUUGCAUUCGAAACUGCGGAACUAGAGUGCAGGAUGGGAGAGCGGAAUUCUUGGUGUAGCGGUGAAAUGCGUUGAUAUCAAGAAGAACACCGGUGGCGAAGGCGGCUCUCUGGAAUGUCACUGACACUGAGGCACGAAAGCUGGGGGAGCAAACAGGAUUAGAUACCCUGGUAGUCCCAGCCGUAAACGGUGCACACUUGGUGUGGGGAGAUUUAACCCUCUCCGUGCCGGAGCUAACGCGUUAAGUGUGCCGCCUGGGGAGUACGGCCGCAAGGCUAAAACUCAAAGAAAUUGACGGGGGCCCGCACAAGCGGAGGGGCAUGUGGCUUAAUUCGAUGCAACGCGAAGAACCUUACCAGGGCUUGACAUAUACCUGCACGCCCCUCGAAAGGGGGGAAGCCUUCGAGGGUGGUAUACAGGUGCUGCAUGGCUGUCGUCAGUUCGUGCUGUGAGGCGUUGGGUUAAGUCCCGUAACGAACGCAACCCUUGUGGUUAGUUGCCACCGGCGGUGAUGAGCCGCCGAGCACUCUAGCCAGACUGCCCGUACAAGCGGGAGGAAGGUGGGGAUGACGUCAAGUCAGUAUGGCCCUUACGCCCUGGGCUGCACACGUGCUACAAUGGGCGGUACAAUGGGAAGCAAUACCGCGAGGUGGAGCAAAUCCCCAAAGCCGCCCCCAGUUCGGAUUGAAGUCUGCAACUCGACUUCAUGAAGUUGGAUUCGCUAGUAACGGCGCAUCAGCUACGGCGCCGUGAAUACGUUCCCGGGCCUUGUACACACCGCCCGUCACAUCAUGAAAGCCGUCUGCACCCGAAGUCGCUGAUCCAACCCGCAAGGGAGGAAGGUGCCGAAGGUGUGGGUGGUGAUUGGGAUGAAGUCGAACAAGGUA
rnacentral:rRNA from 1 species